rnacentral:tRNA from 1 species
GAGGGUGUCGCUCAGCAGUAGAGCGUGUGCUUCGCGGGCAUGAGGUCCUGGGUUCAGUCCCCAGUGCCUCCA